UCUGGCUUCAUCUCAGGUUUGCUGCUUCUAGUCCACAGUGAGAUGGGAAAUCAGCCAAAAAUCUGGAAUCUGGCAUCAAAUGAAAGCAAACCCCUUCAUGUGGAGUUGGAGGCUCUGUUGGGCUAAUCCCAAGCAAGCAGCUCCAGAGAUCAACAAAGAAGUGUCAAGUAGACAAAUAGAGAUGAGGCCAACCACAGCAGGGGGUGUUCCAAAGCCUGUUUCCUUCAGCCAAAGGUGAUCCUGGGGCAAUUACUCUUCUUCGUGUGACAGCAGCUUCCACUAACAGGGUGUAAUGUCUGGAGCUCUAGCUAUGACCUUGUGCCAUGUCGAUGAAACCUGGCCCUGAAGACUCAGAGGAUUACCUGGAUGAAGGCUGGGUUCCUGGAGACUUGGCUAAGCCUUGGACUUCUGACUUACCAGCUUUCAUGUGACGAAGAGAUCAACAGCUGUCUUAUGCUUUUUAUUUUUAGGUUCAUACAACCAAGAGUAACCCUCAUUGAUAGAACACCAAGGGAGGGAGAGGGAGGCUCAGAGGCAAAGUUGACCUUCUUCACGGAUGGACGUGCCCAAGGAUGGGCUUGAUAACAUGAUCCAACAGAGCCCUGGGCAUCGGCCUGUGCACUGAAAGCUUGCUGGUUCAAUUCCGGUAAGGGCACAUGCCUGGGCCUCGCUCUCCUAUCAAUGUUUCUGUCUCU